AUUGAACGCUGGCGGCAUGCCUAAAACAUGCAAGUCGAGCGGAGCGGCGGACGGGUGAGUAAUGCCUAGGAAACUGCCUGAUGGAGGGGGCUAACUACUGGAAACGGUCGCUAAUACCGCAUACAAUCGGAUGUGCCGAGUUGGGAUUAGCUAGUAGGUGGGGUAAAGGCCCACCUAGGCGACGAUCCGUAACUGGUCUGAGAGGAUGAACAGCCACACUGGAACUGAGACACGGUCCAGACUCCGACGGGAGGCAUCAGUGGGGAAUAUUGGACAAUGGGCGAAAGCCUGAUGCAGCCAUGCCGCGUGUAUGAAGAAGGCCUUCGGAUUUUAAAGCACUUUAAGUUGGGAGGCGUUACCCACAGAAUAAGCACCGGCUAACUUCGUGCCAGCAGCCGCGGUAAUAC
rnacentral:rRNA from 1 species